CGGGACGGGUGAGUAAUGUCUGGGAAACUGCCUGAUGGAGGGGGAUAACUACUGGAAACGGUAGCUAAUACCGUAUAACGUCGCAAGACCAAAGAGGGGGACCUUAGGGCCUCUUGCCAUCGGAUGUGCCCAGAUGGGAUUAGCUAGUAGGUGGGGUAAUGGCUCACCUAGGCGACGAUCCCUAGCUGGUCUGAGAGGAUGACCAGCCACACUGGAACUGAGACACGGUCCAG
rnacentral:rRNA from 1 species